UACAGAGGUUCCAAGCGUUGUUCGGAUUUACUGGGCGUAAAGGGUGCGUAGGCGGCUUGGUAAGUUCGAUGUGAAAUCUCCGGGCUUAACCCGGAAAUGGCAUUGAAUACUAUUGAGCUGGAGGUUUGGAGGGGGGACUGGAAUUCUCGGUGUAGCAGUGAAAUGCGUAGAUAUCGAGAGGAACACCAGUGGCGAAGGCGAGUCCCUGGACAACACCUGACACUGAGGCACGAAAGCGAGGGGAGCAAACAGG
rnacentral:rRNA from 1 species